rnacentral:misc_RNA from 1 species
GAUGAAGAACGCAGCGAAAUGCGAUAAGUAAUGUGAAUUGCAGAAUUCAGUGAAUCAUCGAAUCUUUGAACGCACAUUGCGCCCGCCAGUAUUCUGGCGGGCAUGCCUGUUCGAGCGUCAUUUCAACCAUCAAGCCCCCGGCUUGUGUUGGGGACCUGCGGCUGCCGCAGGCCCUGAAAAGCAGUGGCGGGCUCGCUGUCACACCGAGCGUAGUAGCAUACAUCUCGCUCAGGGCGUGCUGCGGGUUCCGGCCGUUAAAAAGCCUUAUUUACCCAAGGUUGACCUCGGAUCAGGUAGGAAGACCCGCUGAACUUAAGCAUAUCAAUAAGCGGAGGA